rnacentral:rRNA from 1 species
AGCGAACGCUGGCGGCAGGCUUAACACAUGCAAGUCGAGCGGGCCCUUCGGGGUCAGCGGCAGACGGGUGAGUAACACGUGGGAACGUACCCUUUGGUUCGGAAUAACGCUGGGAAACUAGCGCUAAUACCGGAUACGCCCUUUUGGGGAAAGGCUUGCUGCCGAAGGAUCGGCCCGCGUCUGAUUAGCUAGUUGGUGGGGUAAUGGCCUACCAAGGCGACGAUCAGUAGCUGGUCUGAGAGGAUGAUCAGCCACACUGGGACUGAGACACGGCCCAGACUCCUACGGGAAGCAGCAGUGGGGAAUAUUGGACAAUGGGCGCAAGCCUGAUCCAGCCAUGCCGCGUGAGUGAUGAAGGCCUUAGGGUUGUAAAGCUCUUUUGUCCGGGACGAUAAUGGCGGUACCGGAAGAAUAAGCCCCGGCUAACUUCGUG